rnacentral:rRNA from 1 species
UUGGUCAUUUAGAGGAAGUAAAAGUCGUAACAAGGUCUCCGUUGGUGAACCAGCGGAGGGAUCAUUACCGAGUUUACAACUCCCAAACCCCUGUGAACAUACCAAUUGUUGCCUCGGCGGAUCAGCCCGCUCCCGGUAAAACGGGACGGCCCGCCAGAGGACCCCUAAACUCUGUUUCUAUAUGUAACUUCUGAGUAAAACCUUAAAUAAAUCAAAACUUUCAACAACGGAUCUCUUGGUUCUGGCAUCGAUGAAGAACGCAGCAAAAUGCGAUAAGUAAUGUGAAUUGCAGAAUUCAGUGAAUCAUCGAAUCUUUGAACGCACAUUGCGCCCGCCAGUAUUCUGGCGGGCAUGCCUGUUUGAGCGUCAUUUCAACCCUCAAGCCCAGCUUGGUGUUGGGACUCGCGAGUCAAAUCGCGUUCCCCAAAUUGAUUGGCGGUCACGUCGAGCUUCCAUAGCGUAGUAGUAAAACCCUCGUUACUGGAGAUCGUCGCGGCCAAGCCGUUAAACCCCCAACUUCUGAAUGUUGACCUCGGAUCAGGUAGGAAUACCCGCUGAACUUAAGCAUAUCAAUAAG